CUGGGCUUUUUGUUUCACAGGUCCUGGGUUCACAGCUGUACUGACUUCCCAAUUGGCAUUCCUGCCUCCAGCCCCACCUCACUCCAGUCCAAUCCCCACAUCAGCUGAGAGAACCUUCCCCAAAGUGACUACAAGAGCAAUUACUGGAAGACCUGGCUAAAAAUUGGUUCUGGACAAGGCUGAGUUGAUGCCACGCUGAUCCAAAGACAAGAACCAUACUGAUAAGCCUGAGCACUUCAUUCCAGCCAUCAAGAGUGACACUGAACAGAGAGGGGUUUAAAAAUUUGGCUGAUCGAUGUUUUGUAACCUCAUCAACACUGAAGGAAGAUACCAUGGCAGACAGUCAGAAAUAACUCUGGAAGGACAAGAAUGCAGCCAUCUCUCUUAGGUAUGUCAGCAAGAGAUGCACCAGGGCUGAUUCCAAGCGGAGGAAGGCUGAGCUGAGGAACACUCCU